rnacentral:rRNA from 1 species
AGUGAACGCUGGCGGUAGGCCUAACACAUGCAAGUCGAACGGCAGCACAGUAAGAGCUUGCUCUUACGGGUGGCGAGUGGCGGACGGGUGAGGAGUACAUCGGAAUCUACUUUUUCGUGGGGGAUAACGUAGGGAAACUUACGCUAAUACCGCAUACGACCUACGGGUGAAAGCAGGGGAUCUUCGGACCUUGCGCGAUUGAAUGAGCCGAUGUCGGAUUAGCUAGUUGGCGGGGUAAAGGCCCACCAAGGCGACGAUCCGUAGCUGGUCUGAGAGGAUGAUCAGCCACACUGGAACUGAGACACGGUCCAGACUCCUACGGGAGGCAGCAGUGGGGAAUAUUGGACAAUGGGCGCAAGCCUGAUCCAGCCACACCGCGUGGGUGAAGAAGGCCUUCGGGUUGUAAAGCCCUUUUGUUGGGAAAGAAAAGCAGCAGGUUAAUACCCCGCUGUUCUGACGGUACCCAAAGAAUAAGCACCGGCUAACUUCGUG